UGUAUCAGUUGACAAGGGAAUAAACUGUUAAUCAUAGAAACAGAUCUUUCCAAAGAUUUGCCAAAAUACAUCAGAAACUUAGCUACUAAAAUCCAAAUGGGACAGUAUGAACGGAGAUCAAAUAGAACCCCAAAUCUUAGGAACAAAGGCAAAAGAUCAAAUUUCUAAACCUAUUGAAGAAACUCAGCAAGAGGUUCUCAGAUAAAGGAACAAAAUACUCCAUGAAUCUUCGCAGGACACAAUGAUCGGUUGGACGCCGACGCAGCAAAUCGACGCCGAAGGCGCUAGAAUCCUUAGAGGUCACCUGGCAGAAAGUUCGCCGGAAUACGAGAGCCGAUGGUGAAAACCACCCUAAUUCCGCUUUCUCUUCGUGAGGAGCCGAGAAGGAGAGGAUGGAACGGAGGAGGCCGUUCUGAGUUUUAAACGCACAAUUUUACACGUGACUUCCACGUGCAUGCAAACAAAAGAACUCUCUGUAGUCGCGGCCAAAAGCAUUUCCAUCUUAAUUAGUUCGUCCCGGCAAGAUGGCGGAAUGCUUCCGUGAUCUGGCUCCCUGUGCGCUCUGCUCGAGCCUUUGGAUCCUCCUAGCCGUCAGCUUUCCCACUUCAAUCUACGCGAUUCGGCAAUUGCUCAUACGCCUGCUUCUCUUGAUCGCCCCUCUUGUUAUCUGUUUCUGUUCUCAUUUGAAAAUUUUAACUGCGGGGGGAAUUCGAUCCAAUUGAUCCAGAAAACUCUUGGGAAUCUGUUAUUGUUGUAAAAUUUGAUUGCUUUGUAUGUGUGUUUUAUCGAUUAUUAGUCAUUUCUUUGUAUUUGGAAACAGAUUGAGGCACAGCGAGCUAGGGCACACGAGAAUCUUUGUUUUAUUUUAUUUUUGAAGGAAGGGCAUGUGAGAUUCUUGUAGAGUUUUAUAGGUUGCGAAGCGAAUGCGUUAGAAACUGAGGAGAAUAAGAUUAAAGUCAAUAUAGAUGAAUCGAGAGGGUUGAUGAAGAGCAUUGUUACUCCGUGGCCCGGUUUCUCGAUGUGACUUGUGACUUUGUGCUUAUGUUGAUAGUCUAGGUCAUGCUACCCGAACCUGGAGGAAUUGGAAAGCUUGUCUAGAUUUGUGGCUCUAAAGUGGACAAUUUCGGUUGUCAAAUUCCAUCACACUUUUGAUUACUCUAAAAUUCCCUAAUUUGCGUAGCUGUAGUGCAUUAAGUGUGAAAUCCAGAUGCUGACUGUGUUUGAAACUCAUUCAAGGAAGGAUAUUGGUAUUAUGGAGAAUCCUGUUUUCAGGGGCGCUACUUAUUAUCAGAUGACAAUGCUUUAGAUGUCAUUCUUUCAAGCGUUUCAAACUCAACAUUGCUGAUUCAGUGAGAUAUUGAUUGCUUUUUUCUAAUUAAAAUCGUGAAGGAUAUAUAUGUACUGCCCUUUCUGUUGAUUCAUGGGCUCGAUGCUGUCCAGCUAAAGGGGACCAAUUUUCUUGUCGGGGCUGCAGCCUUGUUUCACAGUGUUGCAAUUCAUAUGAGUACUGUGUAUCAUGCUGCUUAGAUCCAUCCAGGGUUACUUUUCUCCCUUCUGUAUUUGUUUUGACCUUUUAUUAAAUUUGAAAUUUUGAUUCGUCACACUUUCUUAACAGACCAAAAAAGAUCUUGCUCUGAGGGUGAAAAUUGCUAGACCAAUCUCAGCAAGUAAAGUUACAGAUUUAAGUUUGUUGAGAAGAGAUUUCUUACUAGUUCAUUCAUUCUCUUGUUCUUCCUCUCUUUUAGGAACUUAUUCUAGUGUUUUUGAAUUCUGUGUUGGAAGAUGUCGUCAUAACUCUGCAAGUGUGGUAAUGCUGUCACACCAACCUUUCUUCUUUUUUAUCAUCUCUCCUAAUUUCAUUGGUGACUAUGGCAUUCUCUGACAAUGAAACUUAUAAAAGUAGAAUUUAGAAAUGGUUAUUGUCAUAUAACACGUUCAUUUAAAUAAGAUCUUGUGCCUUGACAAAUUCAUUUUUGUCCAAAUAAAAAAUAGAAGGGAAAACAUUUAUCUUGGGUAUAAACAUUAUGGUCUUCUAAUUGCAACUCUUGUUUAGCAUGACUGGGACUACCUAUGUCGGUUUUGCAUUGGAAAGUUAUGUUAUCAUAUCAAAUAUCUGGUAUAGUUAUCUACUCAUGCUGGCUCAGUGCCUAGCACAGGCAUGAUAUGAAGCAGAUUUACAGAUUGCAUAGAACAGUUCUUAUGCAUUAAUGCAUACGAACAACCUGGUGGCUAGUACCAUGUCACACAGGAAAACCAUUACUCAGUGAUGAAGGCUAAUUAAUACUAUUAACUUUGUUUAAUGAUAUUUAUUCGGUGAGGUUUCUGAUUAGGUUCAUGAGAAAGCCUAUCUAUGCAAGUGAUUUCCACCAUUGUUUUUCACUACAAUCAAAUUUUUCAGGUACUACUAAACUUUUACCCUAAUAAACAUCUGUUAAUUACAUCAUAUUGCAACAAAGAGCAUUUUGCUUUGAGGAUAUCAUUGCUUUCACAUAUUGAUUUAUGAGCUAUCUUUAAAUUUCGGAAUACAAGCCAAAUUUUGAAGCAAGAUUAUCUGGUAUUGACAUUGUUGUCGGAAGGUAGUUGUACUUUGGUUUUUGUGUAUGCUUGAUAUUUAGUUAUGACACUUGUUAUGCAUAAAUCUUAUUUGGAAAUAGUCUUGGAGAAUCUUGUAAUGCAGUUUGCAGCUGGAGAGGAAAAUCAUGUAUUCCAAACAGACUUUUGCUGCUAAAUAGAUGUGAUUUGUAAGUAUUUUCUUUUAAUAAACUUGAUUAUAUCGUUGUACAUCUUCUAUUCUUAUUUCUGUGUCGAUUGUAUUAAUGAUGCCAAAAGCUACUGAAUCUUGUAGGAGAAUAGGAGUCGAUAAAAAAACAAUGUAGCCAUAUUUUGAUUACGAGGAAUCAAGUAUAAUCUCUAUUGAUGAACUGCACAUGUGGCAGUUGCAUAUAUGUGGUGGUACAUUCUUCCAUGCUCAUAGGUGUCUUUACCAAUACCACCAAUUUGUGAAUGUUUUCAGGCCUUCUUCACCAUCAGAUUGAAAAUGAUCCAUCAGGUAGAUUAGAUGCAGAGAAAUUCACUUAUCAAAAAAGUUCAUGGUCGCUAGAUGCAUUUGAUAACUACAUUUUAGAUCUCUUGGCGUUCUUGGUACUUUCUAUUCAUCAUGUAUGAACAUUCUGUAGGAUCGCUUUUUCACAUUUUCAUAAAACAGUCGAGAGUACGCAGCGAAAAAAAGACACACAAAAUCAAUGUUAGCACAAUUUCUUUUACUUGGUUCGGAGCUUUUGAUGACUCCUACUCCAAGGUCCACACUAUUGAGUAUUUACUUUGGGCAAUCCACUAAAAUUUUGAGCGUUUACCCAAUUAGUUUGAAAUGAAAGUACAAGUAAACUAAAAUUAAUUAUACCGAUGAUUUUGAAAUGGAAGCUCGUGCGUAGUUGCUGUCGCGACAACGUUUAGGCAUUGUGGAGAGCUUUUCGGAGCAACGCGCAAGAAUAGAAGAUGUAGAGAGUUGUUGUCACUUGUAUUGAAGUUCUGUACAGAGGGUUGUUCGAAUAGGACUUUUAUGGAGCAUUGAAGAUGCCUACGACCUUUUCCGAGGUGUCUCUAGAUAUAAAUCUGAUCCCUUACCCUUUGUUUAGAUGGGGUGAACGAAGGUUCAUUAAUGGAAAGGGAAAGGAGGGGAAGGGAGGAAAAGGGAGGGGAAGUAAAGUAUUUAUAUUAUUCUUCUUUGGGAGGGAGGGAAGGUUUAUUAACGUAACAUGUAUUACCAUGUUUGGGAGGAAAGUGAGGGUAAUGAAGGUUAAAUAUAUAAAGUUAUAAAAUUACCCUUAUUUUUGUUAAAGACUUAUGCAUUCAAGAACCUAGUGCAUCUUGCAUACAUUUAUUGGUUAAGACUUACGUAUUCAAACAUUUGUAGCUUAUUUGUUAAAGUUGGCGAUGAAGUUGGCGUUGAAGUUGGCGUCGGCAUCGACAUCGGCAUCGAAGUUGGCAUCGAAAUCGGCGUCAAAGUCGGCAUCGACAUCAAAGUUGGCGUUGGCGUCGGCAUCGACGAAGUGCGACCGUCGGGCGGUGGGAGUCAAGUGGUGUGAGUGUUUUUCAUCGCGAUGUAAAGAAUAUCUAAAAUAAUGAUUUUUUUUUUAAAAUUAAUUUAAUAAACAGGGAUAAAAGUAGAACACAAAUUUUUUUAAUUCCCCUUACCCUUCCUUAUACCCCAAAUCGGGGUGUAAAAAAUUCUUUCGUUUCAUGGGUAAGGAAGGUUAAAGCUUACCCUUCCUUACUUUUCCUUUCCGUAGCUCACUUCUUCCCAAACAAGGUUUCAAAUUUUUCUUCCCCUUCUUUACCCUUUCCUCUCCUUCCCUCACCUCCUCCCAAACAUGCAAUUAAGCUUCGGUCAUGAUAAGUUGUGCGAAUUGCGACCUUUAUCUACCUUAGGGUGCCUUCCAAGCGCCUCCGCUGCGCUCCAAGGCGCCUUCCAUGCGCUCUAGGGCGCCUCCCUACAGCGAGAACUUUAUCCUCAAAAUUCAUCCACUCGGGGGCGCCUUCGCCUAGCUCCGAGGCGCUUUCGUACAACUCCGAGGUGAUUCGAGAAUUGUUCAUCCGAUGCUAACUUAUGCAUUUUUGUUCCUACAAAACAUGUUAGUUCAAAUACAAAAGAAAUACCUUGCAAAACAGAGUUAACACAAUCAAAAUAUAGUAUUUUGACAUGUUGGUCCCGAUGUGACCGACAAGAGAGGGUGAAUUGUCCUAUUAAAAAAUUUAACACUUUUUUUUGCUUGCUUGUUUAGGAAAGACGAACACAAGUUAAAGUAGUUAGAAAAAUAAACAUAAAUUAAAGAAAAAGAGGCAAAAAAGUUACUUGGUUUACAACUAGAGACAUUGCUAAUCCAAGAUAAAGUAAGCUCACUAAACGACUCUUUCGAUGAAGGCGGAGUAACCUCUUAUAGACAUUGAAAGCUCAGAAAAGAAACUACGGAGUAAGAAAUUGACAAUACAAUGUUCGUAUUCAAGUGUUGUGUAGAAUCUCGAGUCCCAAGCCUCCUUUGAUAACUUUACUAGCCAAAGUGAUCGUUUGCUGACGUGGCGCAUCCCGGGCGCCCGGACCCGAUCCGAGCGCCUUAGCUGGUCGCCUUAAUCCGUUUUAUAACGGCUAAGUGAUAAGUAGUUUAUUCACUCCUGGGCGCCCGGAUCGGUCUAGGCCCCUAGAUUGCUGUUGACGUGGAUCCUAAAUCUAUCCACAUUGCAACGACUACGCGGGGGCACCUCUUCUGCACCAUAUCAGUUCAAGCGCCUAGGACUUGGUCCAGGCGCCUGGUUGACUUAUCCGACUAAUGCUCCACGCUUGAGUGAUUGAUCGGACAUCCGGUAUUAGGCUCACCCGAACACAUCUCUGACCUUCUUUUCUCGAGCAGUCUUCUGCUUCGGCUUCUCGUCCCUUGGAAGCGCCGCGCGAGUCCUUCCCGUCCGCUGGUGUACUUUUCCGGAGCACCUCGUCCCUCGAAUGCACUGAGUCCGUCAACUCGCUUCCCGUGCCACCUUUCUCGCUAACUGUGUCUUUAGCUUGACUUUUUGUGUUCCUAAGUUUCUGCGCACUUAAACACAAGGAUCAAAUAUAAUAGGACCUAACUUAACCCGGUUGAUCACAUCAAAACUUACUCAGAGUCUCAAGAUUGUCCGAUUCUGACUUUUAGAUUUCCAAUGAAAUCUUAGGUCGAAUCGAUGUCUAUUGUUUCCUCAAUGGGAAACGCAUCCUCACCAAAGAGUUUCCUUUUGCCAAACACCCGUUUGGACUUUUGUGUAGCAUUUAACCUUGACCUCCGAGACUUUCGUUAGACGCUCGAUCCUCCACCUACCUAGACUUCCGCCUAGUAUUCGCGACCCCAAGGACUUUCGCCCGAUGUCCUCGAACUACCAAGUCUUCUGCCCAGUCCACCCUACCAGGACUUCGUGCCCAAUCCUCUCGACCAGGAUUUCAUGCCAAAUCUUUUGACCAAGACUUCGUGCUUAAUUCUCUCAACCAGGAUUUCGUGCCAUCAAGACUUCUUGCCCAAUUUCUUGACUAGGACUUCGUUACCUAGUCUCAACUAGAUUGUGCCUGUAUAUUUAGAUAAACUUGUUACAUCACAAUACAACUUAAUUUUAAACUUUUUAUCAUUAUCAAAAUCAAAUUUAAUUAAUUGGUACUCCCAGUACUAACACAUUCUUGGGUGUAAUAUCGUACAUGAUGAAUUAUCACAGUUGGUUUCUUAAUUCCUUUUUUGCCGAAAUAUGUAAUGCAACUAUAGUUAAACAAUCAUGAUCAAAUUGCCAUGUGUUUCUCAGUAAGUUGCUAGUUAACCAGUUUGCAGAAAUAUAUGCACUGCAAUGGUGGAUGCGCUGCGAGCAUUGGGGCAGGUCGACCUGCAGAAGUUGUUGCAGUUGCACCCAAGAACAUGGUCAGUGGCGGAUCCAGACAAAAAAAGGAAGAGGGUGCUCAACGAAGGGAGUCGGAGCUUGUCUUCCUUCUCGCCGCCCCUCGGACUACAACAUACUGGUGGAAUUUUUCGGGAGCAAGGGGGUGCUCAAGCACACCCCCUUUCCUCUCUAGAUCCGUCACUGAACAUGGUAUAACAUAAUUUACUCUUUUUUAUUUCGAAAAAUUUAUAAUUAUCUCGUUAUAGUUUUAAUAUAAUCAAUCAAGUUAAGUUAGAUUCUGUGUGUGUUUGAUCCUUGUGUCUAAGUAUGUAGGAGCUUAGGAACACAAGAAGUCG